rnacentral:rRNA from 1 species
CCUACGGGUGGCUGCAGUGGGGAAUAUUGGACAAUGGGGGGAACCCUGAUCCAGCCAUGCCGCGUGUGUGAAGAAGGCCCUCGGGUUGUAAAGCACUUUCAGUGAGGAAGAACGCCUGGUGGUUAAUACCCAUCAGGAAAGACAUCACUCACAGAAGAAGCACCGGCUAACUCCGUGCCAGCAGCCGCGGUAAUACGGAGGGUGCGAGCGUUAAUCGGAAUUACUGGGCGUAAAGCGCGCGUAGGUGGCUUGAUAAGCCGGUUGUGAAAGCCCCGGGCUCAACCUGGGAACGGCAUCCGGAACUGUCAAGCUAGAGUGCAGGAGAGGAAGGUAGAAUUCCCGGUGUAGCGGUGAAAUGCGUAGAGAUCGGGAGGAAUACCAGUGGCGAAGGCGGCCUUCUGGACUGACACUGACACUGAGGUGCGAAAGCGUGGGUAGCAAAUAGGAUUAGAUACCCCUGUAGUC